AGCGAACGCUGGCGGCAGGCCUAACACAUGCAAGUCGAACGAAGUCUUCGGACUUAGUGGCGGACGGGUGAGUAACACGUUGGAACGUGCCUUUAGGUCCGGAAUAACUCAGGGAAACCUGUGCUAAUACCGAAUGUGCCCUUCGGUGGAAAGAUUUAUCGCCUUUAGAGCGGCCCGCGUCUGAUUAGCUAGUUGGUGAGGUAAUGGCUUACCAAGGCUACGAUCAGUAGCUGGUCUGAGAGGAUGACCAGCCACAUUGUGACUGAGACACUGCCCAAACUCCUACGGGAGGCAGCAGUGGGGAAUCUUGCGCAAUGGGCGAAAGCCUGACGCAGCCAUGCCGCGUGGAUGAUGAAGGUCUUAGGAUUGUAAAAUCCUUUCACCGGUGAAGAUAAUGACUGUAGCCGGAGAAGAAGCCCCGGCUAACUUCGUGCCAGCCGCCGCGGUAACAC
rnacentral:rRNA from 1 species